AGAGUUUGAUCAUGGCUCAGAACGAACGCUGGCGGCAUGCCUAACACAUGCAAGUCGAACGAGACCUUCGGGUCUAGUGGCGCACGGGUGCGUAACGCGUGGGAACCUGCCUUUAGGUUCGGAAUAACUCAGAGAAAUUUGAGCUAAUACCGGAUGUGCCCUUCGGGGGAAAGAUUUAUCGCCAUUGGAGCGGCCCGCGUCUGAUUAGCUAGUUGGUGAGGUAAAGGCUCACCAAGGCGACGAUCAGUAGCUGGUCUGAGAGGAUGAUCAGCCACAUUGGGACUGAGACACGGCCCAAACUCCUACGGGAGGCAGCAGUGGGGAAUCUUGCGCAAUGGGCGAAAGCCUGACGCAGCCAUGCCGCGUGAAUGAUGAAGGUCUUAGGAUUGUAAAAUUCUUUCACCGGGGACGAUAAUGACGGUACCCGGAGAAGAAGCCCCGGCUAACUUCGUGCCAGCAGCCGCGGUAAUACGAAGGGGGCUAGCGUUGCUCGGAAUUACUGGGCGUAAAGGGAGCGUAGGCGGACUGUUUAGUCAGAGGUGAAAGCCCAGGGCUCAACCUUGGAAUUGCCUUUGAUACUGGCAGUCUUGAGUACGGAAGAGGUAUGUGGAACUCCGAGUGUAGAGGUGAAAUUCGUAGAUAUUCGGAAGAACACCAGUGGCGAAGGCGACAUACUGGUCCGUUACUGACGCUGAGGCUCGAAAGCGUGGGGAGCAAACAGGAUUAGAUACCCUGGUAGUCC
rnacentral:rRNA from 1 species